GACGAACGCUGGCGGCGUGCUUAAGACAUGCAAGUCGAACGGAAAGGCCCUGCUUGCAGGGUACUCGAGUGGCGAACGGGUGAGUAACACGUGGGUGAUCUGCCCUGCACUUCGGGAUAAGCCUGGGAAACUGGGUCUAAUACCGGAUAGGAGCCAUUUUUAGUGUGAUGGUUGGAAAGUUUUUUCGGUGUAGGAUGAGCUCGCGGCCUAUCAGCUUGUUGGUGGGGUAAUGGCCUACCAAGGCGGCGACGGGUAGCCGGCCUGAGAGGGUGGACGGCCACAUUGGGACUGAGAUACGGCCCAGACUCCUACGGGAGGCAGCAGUGGGGAAUAUUGCACAAUGGGCGCAAGCCUGAUGCAGCGACGCCGCGUGGGGGAUGACGGCCUUCGGGUUGUAAACUCCUUUCGCUAGGGACGAAGCUUUUUGUGACGGUACCUAGAUAAGAAGCACCGGCUAACUACGUG
rnacentral:rRNA from 1 species